AGCGAACGCUGGCGGCAGGCCUAACACAUGCAAGUCGAACGCCCCUUCGGGGGAGUGGCGGACGGGUGAGUAACGCGUGGGAACGUGCCCUUUGGUACGGAACAACUGAGGGAAACUUCAGCUAAUACCGUAUGUGCCCUAUGGGGGAAAGAUUUAUCGCCAUUGGAGCGGCCCGCGUUGGAUUAUGUAGUUGGUGGGGUAAAGGCCCACCAAGCCGACGAUCCAUAGCUGGUCUGAGAGGAUGAUCAGCCACACUGGGACUGAGACACGGCCCAGACUCCUACGGGAGGCAGCAGUGGGGAAUCUUGCGCAAUGGGCGAAAGCCUGACGCAGCCAUGCCGCGUGAAUGAUGAAGGUCUUAGGAUUGUAAAAUUCUUUCACCGGGGACGAUAAUGACGGUACCCGGAGAAGAAGCCCCGGCUAACUUCGUGCCAGCAGCCGCCGUAAGAC
rnacentral:rRNA from 1 species